UCAUCUAAUCAAAGUCCCAAAAGUAAUUAUUGAGAGAAUAGGGAAGAGCCAAGAUAUGCUUGUGGAAUAAAUUUAUUUUUUAAUUUUUUUUGUAAAAUAAAUUUAAAGUAUUUACAGCUAUGCAAGUAAAAUAUAUUAAAAAUAAUGUACAACUGUACACACAAUAAUGGAAUUCCAGAACACAAAAGUCAAUGGUAUCUCAUAAAAUCUAGCAGGAGAAAUGAGGAAUACCCUACUAUGAAACAUAUCAUACAUAUAAUACCAUAAUGGAAAUUAGGAAAUGGUUUUCUCUGAAUAUUAAUUAAAGCAAUAUAUAUCAGGACUUUCACUUCUAGAUGGUUUAAAAAAGUUUAGAAUAAGAGUUCUCAGUGUCGUUCAGCAGUAAUGAACCCAAAUAGUAUCCAUAAGGACGCAGGCUUGAUCCCUGGCCUUGCUCAGUGGGUUAAGGAUCCAACGUUGCUGUGAGCUAUCGUGGAGGUUGCAGAUAUGGCUUGGAUCCAGUGAUGCUGUGGCUGUGGCACAGCUAUAGCUCCGAUUAGACCCUAGCCUGGGAACUUCCAUAUGUCAUGGGUUUGGCCUUAAAAAAAAAAAAGGAAAAGAAAAGAUACUUUUAGGAAGAUGAAUGGUCCUCCUAAAAAUCAUUUUAAAAAUCAUUUAAAAACACAAAAAUCACAUGAAUGAUCAAAGGUACAAUGAACAAAUGGAACAAAUAGAAAAUUGGUAGUUAUAAAUCCAAAUAUAUUAGUCAUAAUGUUAAACAUAAAUGGGUUUGACACUCCAAGCAAACUAUAUGGUUAAGUGAAAAAAGCAAACUAGUAGAAAUGCAUUACUUUUUGUUUGAGAGGAAAAAUGAAUAUUUUCAUUUAUUUGCUUAAAUUUUCAAAGAAAACAAUGAAAUUUUAAGGCCAAAUAUCCUACUUUUAAAAAUGUCACCUGUACAGUAGAAGAAAGAAGAGUGAAGAGAGAAUGCUAAUCAAAAUAAGACCUCUGUGAACAAACCUGAUAUUAAAGUUUUAACUUCAGAAUCAUGUAAAUAUUUUACUUAUUUUUAGAAAUCAUAAAGCUUUCUUUAAACUUUGAAACACAUGACCUAACUGUAUAUUAGAUUGUUUGCAUAAACAUACAGAGAACUAUUUUAAGUGACUUAAAAUCACAAUGUUUGGAAAAUAUGGUUCUAACGGGAUCCAUUCCAGAGACAGAGGUGCUGUAAAUGUAUCUUUAAAUUUUAAGUUACAUUCAGUGUUCUUGUUCUUAGUGAUUAAAAAAAAAAAUCUAAAUGGCUCCCAAGAUUCUAACCCCGACAUACACUCCUUUUAUGAUCUCUUACCCCUGAGUGUGGAUGGGCUUGAUUCAUACAAGUGAAUCCUUUUACAGAAGGUCUAGAAGGCAAGGCUAUUCUAGUCAUUCUGUUCCUCUGUAUGUUUGACUAUUGAACUGUAGCAAUGCCUAUUCAGUUCUCGGAGUCUUAGUUGGGGUGGAAUGAAAUGUACCAAGCACAUUAGCCUGAAAGAUCACAAAAUGGAGAUAAGAUUUAAUUUGCCACCAAGACGGGAUGAGGAGGUGUAACCUGUGAGUUUCUCUGGGCCGGGAGCUCCAGAGAAGUUCUUGGAACCCCAUGAUGCUCUUUGCUGGCUGUCUCCAUUUGUUCUUCUUGUCUUUCCUUUAAUUCUGCUGCCCAUUCUUUUCCUUUAAGUUUGUUUUGUUUUGGCAAAUUGUCACACAUAAACAAAAGUAGAGAGUAGAGUAUAAAUACAUCCAAGUACAUCACACAUACUUCAACAAUUAUCAACAUUUUGCCAAACUGGUUUUCCAUAUUAUUGCAUGGUUAAUCUCAGGCAUUAAAUUAUAUUAUGUAUUCUUUCAUCUGUUCAGUAAGAAUCUUUAAUCAAUAAAGUGGGUAUUCAUUCAUCUUUGAAGCUAUAGAAGUUCUAAGUAUAAUUCAUAGAAUAAAUAGUUUUCUUCAGCCAAUUCUGCCACUACUUUCAGGAACGGCUGGGGAGAGAACAACUUUUUUUUUAAUGUUUAUGGUGCUAUUACUUAUUACCUAUGCUUCUAUUUGUUUUCUCUUGCUAUUAAAAAGCAGGAACGGUUCUAGAUGUUUAAAAUGAAAUGAUCUAUGUGUAAAACAGGAGGCAAGAUUAUUCUCGGUGAAUUUCUACAAAAGUGCAAGGCUUGAGUAACCUAAGCUUGCAGUUUAAUACUACUAUCUUCCUAAUAGUUUACCCUGUUCUCCUCUCCACUUCCUGCUUUAUAACUCAAGACUCAACCUUCAGUUCCUCAUGGCUUUCCUCUGUUUUUCCCUCUUUUGGCAUCCAGUCCAAGGCUUCUCGUGGUGAUUUAACUCCCAAAUACUUCAGAUUGGGUUGUCUCACUCCUGGCCAGACUCCAGGGAUGUUAGAGGUCUCCUGCUUAAGUAACCAGAAUACCAGCUCCAGCCCACUGUCUACCCAGACAUCAAGGAUUGAAAACUGGGUGCCUGAGCAUACUAUAAAUCCGAUUAAAACCCUUUUAACAACUGUGUAGUGUAGAGUCCUCGCCCUGGCAACAGGGUGCAGUCACACUCUGGUUGCAUCCCAUAUUUGGUAGCAACAUAUUGGGGAAAAAUAAAAAUGCCUUUGGGAAAAAUGCAUGAGAAUAGCUUGUAUAAUUUCAGAAACCACAUGUGGAAGAGCCUGGACUUUGAAGCUAUGCUUGAGUUUUGCUCUUCUUUACACCAGCAGAAGUCUCUGAACUGCUCUAUUCAGUGAUGACCCAGCUCUUACUACAAAAGCGAAGAGCAUUUGGAGAGAUCUAUGUAAUGAGCCGGAGGUCGGGCGCAGGGCCUCCUCUUCCUCUGAGGCGAAGUCCAGGAAGUCAAAUUAGGGUGAAGCUAGGGCUUUCCUAUCAUGAUUUUCCAGGUCUGGCUGUUUUUUUACUUUCCUUUGCUGGGCUGUCAGGGGUUUCUGCCUGAGGCUGUUUAUAAAUGGUCUCAUCUCCAUUCUGUGCAGUUUGGCCUGGGUGGGCAUAAGGUUACCAAUGGAUGCAGGAAGGCCUGGAAAAAACAAGGAUAUAGAGAUGAUAUUGAUGGCACUUCUUCUCAGGCAAGGAGAAGUUAGAUCAAAUGUAGAGCACUUGCCUUGCAUGCUAAGGGUGGUGAGAUUGAUACCCACAUUCUCCAGUUUCAGACUUUUGCUUGCCAUCCUUAUGACCUGGAGAAGUUCUCCAGUUAAAGGCAGAUUCAAAGCCAGGAAUAAAAUUACAUAAUCUUCAAGAGAUGUAGUUAAAACUUUCAUAUUUUUUCUAUUAGAUUGCUUAGCACCCAAGACAAGAUCACAGCAGUGGGGAGCAAAUCCAGAGCAAGAAAUGAUACUUUAUGAGAAAAAAAGACGGCUGUUACACAUACAUUUUUUUAUUCUCUGUAUUUAUAAAGGCAUUUCAAGAUUAGAACUGAAACUUGAAUAGAGCCUUGAAAGAAUCAUGUAAACUUUGUGUUAUCUUAUUUUCUGAAUAUUCUGAUGAUAUUUUUUCCUCAAAAAAUGCAUUUGAAAAUAUAUAUUAAUAGAUGUACUUUGUUUUCUGGUCUGAAUAUUUGUGCUCCCCUAAAAUUUGCAUGUUGAAAUCUAAUGGCCAGGGUGAUGGUCAUAUUUAUUCUUUUCAUAUAAGUUUCUAAUUUUAUAAAGUUCAAUUUUAUUUUACUAAGUUGACAAUGGAUGAGUUUACUAUAUGUUUUUAUACUAUUCCAUGAAAGGAAAGCACACUUUGUUAGGGACUUGUUAAAGUAAUUAAACAAGGAGACCAUUAAACUAAGUUGGCUCUAAAUGCCCUUGGUAGCCUAGGUAAGCAAACCAAAACCUAAACCAGAAGCAGUGCACUGGAAUCUGAGAAAAUGAAAUUUAAGAUCAAUUUCUCUCUCUCUCAUACACACACACACACACACACACACACACUUCCCAACCCGACUAGUAUCCAUGAGGAAGCGGGUUCCAUCCGUGGCCUCGCUCAGUGGGUUAAGGAUCCAGCCUUGUGUGAACUGUGGUGUAGGUCACAGAUGUGGCUGGAAUCCUGUGUUGCUGUGACUGUGGUGUAGGCCUGGCAGCUAUAGCUAUGAUUCAACUCCCAGCCUGGGAACUUCCAUAUGCCGCAGGUGAGGCCCUAAAAAGACAAAAAAAGAAAGAAAGAAAGAA
rnacentral:lncRNA from 1 species